rnacentral:rRNA from 1 species
GCGCGAUUAAAGGAGCCAGCAAGAGAUUCCCUUAGUAGUGGCGAGCGAAAAGGGAACAGCCCAAACCCUGUCAUACGUGACGGGGGGUUGUAGGACCUCAACAUGAAGACUACUCCUAUUAGUCAAAGAUAUCUGGAAAGUUGCACCAAAGAGGGUGACAGUCCCGUAGACGAAAAUAGGGUAGAAUUCUAGAGUGUUCCUGAGUAGGGUCGGACACGUGUAAUCCGGCCUGAAUCUGGGAGGACCAACCUUCCAAGGCUAAAGAGAUUUGGAGAUCGAUAGUGAACAAGUACCGUGAGGGAAAGGUGAAAAGUACCCCGGUGAGGGGGAUGAAAUAGCAUCUGAAACUUUGUGCUUAUAAAGAGUCGGAGCCUGUCGCAAGACGGGUGACGGCGUACUUUUUGUAGAACGGGCCAACGAGUUAGUUGUACGGCGCUUGGUUAAGGGAGUAAUACCCGCAGCCAUAGUGAAAGCGAGGGUGAAUAACCCGUAUGUGUCGUGCACUAGACCCGAAACUGGGUGAGCUACCCAUGGUCAGGCUGAAGCCCGCUUAAACGCGGGUGGAGGGCCGAACCGACCGGUAUUGCAAAACCGGCGGAUGAACUGUGGGUAGGAUGGUGAAAAGCCUAUCGAACCCAGAUAUAGCUGGUUCUCCUCGAAAUAGCUUUAGGGCUAGCCUUGUGUAAAUUUUGAUGGGGGUAGAGCUCUAUUUAGGCUAGGGGACAUAAUAAGUCUACCAAACCUAGAUAAACUUCGAAUACCGUCAAAAGUUUCACAGGAGUCAGACUGUGACAGCUAAGUGCCAUAGUCAAAAGGGGUACAGCCCAGAUCAUCAUCUAAGGUCCCUAAUAAAGCUUAAGUGGCAAAGGAUGUGGGAUUACGUAUACAACCAGGAGGUUGGCUUAGAAGCAGCCAUUCCUUUAAAGAGUGCGUAACAGCUCACUGGUCUAUGUGAUCCUGCGCCGAAAAUAUAACGGGGCUCAAAGCUU